CCGCCUCAGACUCAGAGCUGCGCUCCUCGACCUCAACGCCAGGCGGUUACUUUGCUGCUCCUCCCGCUCGCUAUGUCAACGUCCACUAGCUGCCCGAUUCCCGGGGGCCGGGACCAGCUGCCCGACUGCUACAGCACCACGCCGGGGGGCACGCUAUACGCCACUACCCCCGGAGGUCAGCGGGCCGGGCAGGGGUCCGCAGGCUGCGGACAUAUUAGCGCGUGCGUGUUGUUGCGGGGCGGGGGUAGGGGAGGGACAGACCUAAGACUUGUCCGCAGGCCCCUCUACAGGUUGUAGCUUUGGGGGAGAAUGUUUGGAGCGGAAGCUCAGUUCCCAAAAACUUCUAAGUGAUGCAACAAGGCCAUGAGCCUAGCUUCCGGGUGUUUGGGCUGUAAUCCUUCACUGUGGCCUGGGUUCUUGGAGCCUUACACACGCUCCUUACCCCUCGCGACUUUGCUUCCUAGGAAUAGGGGCCAGGGCCCCCUACUGAGCGUGACCUCAGCCGGAAGCACCGGGUCUUGAGAAGUGGAGUAGUUAGAACAGUUGGGGCAGUUGCUCCGUUUUUGUGCUGCUGGCUGGCGUCUGUUUGGUUGGGCGAGCAGCCUGGGAUCACGAGCUGCUGGGCUCCCGACCCAGGGAUUCCUGCCACGCGGAAGCGGAGGGGAGGAACAGGGCAGGACCCUUUGAGGACAUUAUGCGGGCCAAGUUCCUCUGAGCUAGUGUGAACCUUAUAGGACCUGGGAGGGGUCAGGAUUAGAACAGUACGUUUCUCCUCCCUGCAGGAGAUAGCCCAGGCACCAGGAUCAUCUACGACCGAAAGUUCCUGCUGGAGUGCAAGAACUCACCCAUUGCCCGGACACCCCCCUGCUGCCUCCCUCAGAUUCCCGGGGUCACAACUCCUCCAACAGCCCCUCUCUCCAAGCUGGAGGAGCUGAAGGAGCAGGAGACAGAGGAAGAGAUACCCGAUGACGCACAAUUUGAAAUGGACAUCUAAUCCAGUGCAGAUGACCUGGCAUGUGGAGUUACAGAGGGAUCCCUCAUGCCACUGCUGCCACCACCUCUUCCUGGGGCAUCCAAAGGCCAGCUGGCCUCAUCUAAUCUGGAAGGGAGUGACUUGUUAGUUCCAGGCCUCCUUUAGUUCUGAGGCAGCUAGACCAGGGAUAGGAGUGGGCAACUUGCCAAGCCCUUAACUCUACUUCCUCUUCAGUCUGUGGUACUCCUCCUAACCCUAAACCCUCUAUGCUCAGGGGCUGGAACUGGGGAAUGGAGUAAGUCACCUUCUGACUGCUUAGUAAACAUUC
rnacentral:lncRNA from 1 species